GGACUACUGGGGUAUCUAAUCCUGUUUGCUCCCCACGCUUUCGCGCCUCAGUGUCAGUAUCUGUCCAGGUAGCUGCCUUCGCCAUUGACGUUCCUUCCGAUCUCUACGCAUUUCACCGCUACACCGGAAAUUCCGCUACCCUCUACAGUACUCCAGUCAUGUCGUUUGCGAUGCACUUCCUAGGUUAAGCCCAGGGCUUUCACAUCACACGUUCAUAACCACCUACGCGCCCUUUACGCCCAGUAAUUCCGAUUAACGCUCGCACCCUCUGUAUUACCGCGGCUGCUGGCAC
rnacentral:rRNA from 2 species